rnacentral:lncRNA from 1 species
UGGUGGAGCCUAUCUGCAUAUCAAGGUCUGUGCCAGACGCCAGGCUCCCUCAAUCCCUACUCACAGUUCAAAGGCCAUCACGUGACCAUUCCUGGAAGCCAUGAACACACACGCCACUUCAUACCAGGAACGGAACCAAUAGAAAAGACAGUUCCACCAAGUCCAGCUUUGGGUGAACAGUGAGGACCACUGGGGCCACUUACGAGAUGGUGGGCAACUGAAGAGUGGCUACAUCCUUGAAAAGUCUCCCCUAGCGAUUGUUAAGGGCUUAACUACUCUGAGGAGCGUUGUACUGGCUGGUUCUGUGUGUCAACGUGACACAAGCUGGAGUUAUGGAGAAAGGAG